UACGUAGGUGGCGAGCGUUGUCCGGAAUUACUGGGCGUAAAGGGCGCGCAGGCGGUCUGUUAAGUCCGGGGUGAAAUCCUUCGGCUCAACUGGAGGGGGACCCUGGAUACUGGCAGGCUGGAGUGCGGGAGAGGGAAGCGGAAUUCCACGUGUAACGGUGAAAUGUAUAGAUAUGUGGAGGAACACCGGUGGCGAAGGCGGCUUCCUGGACCGUAACUGACGCUGAGGCGCGAAAGCUGGGGGAGCGAACAGG
rnacentral:rRNA from 1 species